UACGUAGGGGGCAAGCGUUGUCCGGAUUCAUUGGGCGUAAAGAGCGUGUAGGCGGCCAGGUAGGUCGGUUGUGAAAACUGGAGGCUCAACCUUCAGAGGUCGACCGAAACCAUCUGGCUAGAGUCCGGGAGAGGAGAGUGGAAUUCCUGGUGUAGCGGUGAAAUGCGCAGAUAUCAGGAGGAACACCGAUUGCGAAGGCAGCUCGCUGGGACGUUACUGACGCUGAGACGCGAAAGCGUGGGGAGCAAACAGG
rnacentral:rRNA from 1 species